UACGGAAGGGGGCUAGCGUUGCUCGGAAUUACUGGGCGUAAAGGGCGCGUAGGCGGACAGCUUAGUCAGAGGUGGAAAGCCCAAGGGCUCAACCUUGGAACUGCCUUUGAUACUGGCUAUCUUGAGUUCGGGAGAGGUGAGUGGAAUGCCGAGUGUAGAGGUGAAAUUCGUAGAUAUUCGGCGGAAACACCAGUGGCGAAGGCGACUCACUGGCCCGAUACUGACGCUGA
rnacentral:rRNA from 1 species